AGUCGUAACAAGGUUUCCGUAGGUGAACCUGCGGAAGGAUCAUUACCGAGUGAGGGCCCUCUGGGUCCAACCUCCCACCCGUGUUUAUCGUACCUUGUUGCUUCGGCGGGCCCGCCGCAAGGCCGCCGGGGGGCAUCUGCCCUCUGGCCCGCGCCCGCCGAAGACACCAUUGAACGCUGUCUGAAGAUUGCAGUCUGAGCAAUUAGUUAAAUAACUUAAAACUUUCAACAACGGAUCUCUUGGUUCCGGCAUCGAUGAAGAACGCAGCGAAAUGCGAUACGUAAUGUGAAUUGCAGAAUUCAGUGAAUCAUCGAGUCUUUGAACGCACAUUGCGCCCCCUGGUAUUCCGGGGGGCAUGCCUGUCCGAGCGUCAUUGCUGCCCUCAAGCACGGCUUGUGUGUUGGGCUCCGUCCUCCUCCCGGGGGACGGGCCCGAAAGGCAGCGGCGGCACCGCGUCCGGUCCUCGAGCGUAUGGGGCUUCGUCACCCGCUCUGUAGGCCCGGCCGGCGCUUGCCGACACAUCAAUCUUUUUUCCAGGUUGACCUCGGAUCAGGUAGGGAUACCCGCUGAACUUAAGCAUAUCAAUAAGCGGAGGAA
rnacentral:misc_RNA from 1 species